rnacentral:antisense_RNA from 1 species
GGUGAGGCUCCGACCCCGGAAUCGACCCAGGACAGCGAAUGACCCAGACCAGGUGUGGCUCCAACCCCGGACAGCGAAUGACCCAGACCAGGUGUGGCUCCAACCCUGGAAUCGAUCCCAGACAGUGAAUGUCCCAGGCUCCACGACAGCACCGAGCACCCUGGGACUCCGGCAAUCAGGCGGCUGGGACACCUCACAGAGGGGGACAGCGAUGACGGAAGGGGGAGGCGCCCGCCUGAAGCUUCAGGUCAUGUCACGGCACAGAGUGGCAAGGGCCAGGGAAGGCCCUGAGGAUGAGGAUGGGCCUGGACGCUCCCUGAACCAGGGCGGGGCAGGGUAGAGAAGGGGGCGCAAAGAGUCACACAGGCAGUGGGGACGCCAGCAGGGCCCAGGCAGCUCAAGGGGCAUGUCGUGGGGGAGGCAGGGACACGGCAGGCGGGCCGAGGGGGAGGAAGGAUUCUGAGGAGGAGCAGACGGUGCUGGUGGCUGAAGCAGGAGGAUCACUUGAGCCCAGGAGUUUGAGACCAGCCUGAGCCACAUAGGAAGACCC